rnacentral:tRNA from 1 species
GGGCCGUUAGCUUAGUAGGUCAGAGCGCGACAUUUGCAAUGUCGAGGUCGCCGGUUCGAAUCCGGCACGGUCCA